rfam:Triticum aestivum genome assembly, contig: Triticum_aestivum_CS42_TGACv1_scaffold_485296_6AS
GAGCAUAUGAUGUUACAAGGAGAUGCUAUUGAGAUUUUACGCCGUUGAAGUAUCUUAAACCGAGCUUUUUAAAACUGAUGCCUG